UACGAAGGGGGCUAGCGUUGUUCGGAUUUACUGGGCGUAAAGCGCACGUAGGCGGAUCUUUAAGUCAGAGGUGAAAUCCCAAGGCUCAACCUUGGAACUGCCUUUGAUACUGGAGAUCUUGAGUCCGGGAGAGGUGAGUGGAACUGCGAGUGUAGAGGUGAAAUUCGUAGAUAUUCGCAAGAACACCAGUGGCGAAGGCGGCUCACUGGCCCGGUACUGACGCUGAGGUGCGAAAGCGUGGGGAGCAAACAGG
rnacentral:rRNA from 1 species